AACAUAAGUUAAAAAACCUACUCAACAUUUUUUUCUACCAAACGAAACACGUUCACUAUUAAUACCGUGUGGUUACUACUGUGGUGCAAGUGUUCAUUUGUAGGGCGUGCGAUGAAGAGGAAGUGUGAGAGUUGGAUUCGGGUUAUGUAGGGUAUAUUGCGGCAAACAAUCCACAAUAGCGUCAUUAUAUUCACCCAUUUCUACCAAAAGGAGGAAACAAAAGCACCAGGCUAUAGUCCGGCGCAGGAUACCUGGGAGCACAACACAGGUUGGAACAUUGAGAUCCGAUCUGUGUGGUGGUCCUCGCUGUCAUGCGAAGCUUACCUGCGAGCUUCAGGGCGCGUCCACAGGUUGUGGAUGGCGAAAUGCUUAAUACGGAGUAUCUGCAACGGCAGCUGCGGAAAAUCAGCGGUAGCGAGCGAAGAGUCUCAUAGAGGCCGGGCGGCUCCAUCUCUUCCAUAAAUUCGGAGAGCUUUCAAAUAACCAAUGACUAUCAUGUUCCCGCAGCGAUCGACCAUGCUGGAAAUCAAACAACCGGAAAAAUGCCACAUCCUGGGCAGUGUUGCCGUUUUUGGUAGGUUCCUACCAAAAUUGGUAAAUUAUUACUCUCUUGGUAGGUUGGUUGGUAGGCUGACCUCUUUUUUUGCGUUUUCCUUGCCUCUGGCGUUUUUCACCCCGAGCAUACUAUUCAAGCGAUUUUGACCAGCCUCCAGUGAGAUACCCAGUAAAAAAAUCUCUCUAACUUCAAUCACCUUUACAACGACAUCCAUUUCUGAUUGCCAUAACAUCGCAUUGCCUAUACUUCAAUGUUGCAUAUGGCAAGUGGAACCCGGUACCUUUUCUUCUAUUUCUAUUUGGAUUAUUAUUGCAGUAUUGUGGUCUUUUGUCAAGCGAUGAAAUCUUGCAUGAAAAAUUAAAAUUUGAAAUCACAACACCGAAAAUUCCGAAUCCACAUGUUGCUCGUCGAAGGGUUCAGUCGAAAGAUCCUUUUUUGUUUAUUAUAAAAUAGAAGGGAAUUAUACAAUCAAACACACUUUGGUGUACAGUGCCGAAUGCUAAGCAUAUCUCUAAACUUGGGCUCUUCUGCACGAAAAAUCUUUCAAUGUAAGUUUAAACUCGUAAAACGAAGCAGUCCAAUUUCAAUGAGAUUUGAACCAGUAAUUGGAAGAUGUACAUAAAUAGACCUUAGACUCUGUUCAAAGAUCAUUUGAACCGGCAAACAAUGUGAAUGUGAUAACCUAUUCAAAACACAGAAACAGGUUUGUUGGAAAAAAUCAACAACACAGAAGUCAACAAGUCCAAAGUACAAAUGCAGUAGAGAAAUCUCUGUGGAGAAUGUAUAUCGCUUUAAUAAUUUUCUGUUUUUACCAUAUUACUAACCUUUUGUGAUGGCAGACAUUGUUUAUUUUAAUUAUAUGCACAAUGAAGAAAAUUAGGAAAUGUUUCAAAGAAAUAGCGACACCACACCGACUAUAGGAAAAAUAAUUCACGAGACUUUUUAUUUGGGUCAACAGCAGUAAAUUCAAGAAUGUACGUACGGCACGGCUGUUAUCUGGUCCCAAU